rnacentral:rRNA from 1 species
AACGAACGCUGGCGGCAGGUCUUAGGCAUGCAAGUCGAACGGGUGUAGUAAUCCACCAGUGGCGAACGAGUGAGUAACGCGUGGGAAUCUGCCCAUCUCUGGGGAAUAACGUUUGGAAACGAACGCUAAUACAGCAUACGCCCGCAAGGGGAAAGAUUUAUCGGAGAGGGAUGAGCCCGCGUUGGAUUAGUUAGUUGGUGGGGUAACGGCCUACCAAGGCCAUGAUCCAUAGCUGGGCUGAGAGGACGACCAGCCACGCUGGAACUGAGACACGGUCCAGACUCCUACGGGAGGCAGCCGCUAAGGAUAUUGGGCAAUGGAGGAAACUCUGACCCAGCCAUGCCGCGUGAAUGAAGAAGGCCUUCGGGUUGUAAAGUUCUUUUAGUCGUGACGAUGAUGACGGUAGCGACAGAAAAAGCACCGGCUAACUUCGUGCCAGCAGCCGCGGUAA